rnacentral:siRNA from 1 species
UUGUACACUAAAAGUGGUGUAC